UACAGAGGGUGCGAGCGUUAAUCGGAAUUACUGGGCGUAAAGGGUGCGUAGGUGGGUUGAUAAGUUAGAUGUGAAAUACCUGGGCUUAACCUGGGAUGGUCAUUUAAUACUGUUAGCCUUGAGUAUGGUAGAGGGUAGUGGAAUUUCCGGUGUAGCGGUGAAAUGCGUAGAUAUCGGAAGGAACAUCAAUGGCGAAGGCAGCUACCUGGACUGAUACUGACACUGAGGCACGAAAGCGUGGGUAGCAAACAGG
rnacentral:rRNA from 1 species